rnacentral:rRNA from 1 species
UGGGGAAUAUUGGACAAUGGGCGAAAGCCUGAUCCAGCCAUGCCGCGUGUGUGAAGAAGGUCUUCGGAUUGUAAAGCACUUUAAGUUGGGAGGAAGGGCAUUAACCUAAUACGUUAGUGUUUUGACGUUACCGACAGAAUAAGCACCGGCUAACUCUGUGCCAGCAGCCGCGGUAAUACAGAGGGUGCAAGCGUUAAUCGGAAUUUCUGGGCGUAAAGCGCGCGUAGGUGGUUUGUUAAGUUGGAUGUGAAAUCCCCGGGCUCAACCUGGGAACUGCAUUCAAAACUGACUGACUAGAGUAUGGUAGAGGGUGGUGGAAUUUCCUGUGUAGCGGUGAAAUGCGUAGAUAUAGGAAGGAACACCAGUGGCGAAGGCGACCACCUGGACUAAUACUGACACUGAGGUGCGAAAGCGUGGGGAGCAAACA